UUGGCUCUGGCCUGUACAUUUGUCACGCCCCAAAAUUUACAUACAGACCAGCCCACUGGUUCGCUGGCCCAAGAACAUGAAUGGAGGUCGUGAAGAUGUCAGACACUAGUUUAGCUAGCCUACUGUUGGGUUUACUUCUACAAGAAUUACAAAGCAGGCAGUUUCUCUAUCGAAAAUGAGCCAGAGAGGUAAAUGCAGUGUUCCAGGCUGCACGGAGAAAGGGGAAGUUUGUCACAGUCUUCCCAAGGAUCCGAAGACUCGGCAGGCAUGGAUAAUGUUUGUCUAUCAGAAGAUCCCUGCAAAGUUCGACGCUCAGCUGUUCAUUUGCUCUGAACAUUUUACCGAAGACAGCUUUCAAAAUCUUGGACAGUUUAAAGCAGGAUUUGCCAAACUUCUUUUACUGAAACGAGGGGCUGUUCCGACCGUAAGGUCAUCACAACCGCAAGCUAGCACAUCACAAGAACAACAAGAACAACCACGAACAAAAGUUGCAGCAUGCCAAACAGAUCCUCCUUGUGUGGCAUCUCGCGGGACGCAGCUUUCUUUUAUUACAUUGAGACCUCACCAACGAAGCAAAGGCAUACAGGCAACGCCGCAAUGCCAAAGUGUGGCAGUAGGCACAACGGCUCCUUCAGUCUCUGGGCCAUUCUCUUCAACUCCUUUGAAGGGUCAGAGGCCAGCAAAGAGACCUCGCCUUGAAUUUGAGGAGGAGGUGGAAGAUGUUUCCUCUGCAUGCACUGAUCCUCAAGAUUCCACAUACGAUCCUGCACAGUCUGCUACAAU